GCUGUAGAUGUUUCACCACUAGUUAGUCCAGUUCUACAUCAUGCUGCUGGCUUUUCAGCAUUCAUCUGUGUUCUGUUUGACUGGACAUUUGGUUCAAUGAACAAAGAAAUACAGCUGUUUCUCAUCCCUGUGCAGCUAGGCAUUACAGAAGUCUGCACUUCUCAUGGAAGCCACAGAAGCCUGACACCACCCAUCUGUCCCCGUUAUUUGGCAUGACUUGGUUUUGUUUUUUAAAAAACAUAAAAAAUGGUUUUGAUAAUAAGAUUUUUCUUGUUUACAUUUUUUUUUUAAUUUUUUUUUUUUUUCUUAAAUUCUAUGCCUUAAAAAGGUUGGAUAAGACAUUUGAAAUGAAAGAAAAACUGGAAAAAUGGACUGAUAUUAAUUGUUUUGAUGGAUAGAAGAAGAAGCAGCUAUUCCUGGAUGAAAGGGCCAAAGAAGUGCAGCUGUUAAUAAAGUCCAACUCAAUCAAGUGUGUCAGACCCUUGGUAACAGCCAACACCAUUGAACCUACAGGAAAAAAACAGUCGUGGAAAUAAGUGGCUCUUCUGAAGUUGUUUGGUCUCUUGUAUCAUUCUGGCAAAAUUUAUCUGGACCUUUGGGGAUGAUGGGAAGAUGCAAGACUGGUUUUGCAAGUGAGAUAAGCUUGGUCUCUCAUGUUUUAAUGUAUACCCAAGAGUCAAGCCAGAUGGUAAUAGCUGACUAUACCAUUGCAAUACAGAGAUGAGUGAUGUGAAGAUUUAGGAGAAAUGUCUGGAGAAGAGCCCAGGUUACCUCUGCAAUAGUUCUCUCUAUAUCUUAAGUUCAGUGUCCUGAAACAGAAGGACAUCCAGUUAGUGAUCAGAGGAAAUCUGUGAUCACAGUUUCUGCAUGCUUCCUUGACUGUAUGAAUCACUCUAAUGAUAUCAUAAAUUUGUGAUAGCCGACAAUGUCUCUGGAGGUCACUGGAAGAAAGCUCCUGCCUGAAAAUACUAAGUAUUAUCCAUCUGGAAGAAAACACCAUCGCAACAAGAGAGAGAGAUUCCUUAAACAUAAUGCGGUUUUCCAGUGGAAUUACUUCUCAACUACAGAGUAUCACCUGUUUGAUAAAUACAUUGCUACAAAGAUUCCCAGAUCCAGCUCACCUGUUCAGAGCCUAAAUGACAAGACUGUUAUUGAAAGAACAGCUCUAAAACAAAAGUGGCAUUGGGAUAGAAGGUCGUCAAGGGAAAAAAAAAAAAAAAACAAAACACAACAACAAACAAACAAGCUUUUCAGUAGAAAAGUGAAAACUCUGUUAAUCAAUGUUGGAAUUUUAUAUCAAAUCCAAUUUUGUUUCAAUUUUAUUUCUUUUUUUUUUUUUUUUUUAAAUAUAAUUUCAAUUUUAUUUGUAUUUUUAUUUCAAUCCUGUCUUCAAUAACUAUCCGGUAUUUUUGGAGGCAAGUGCAGCAGUCAGUCUCCCUUUUCUUAUGUUCUUCCAAGUAUUACCUGGGACAUCAACACAGUUGUCAGAACCACUUGACACCAUGCUUUUUCUGAAUACAAGGACAAAAUUCAGAACCUCUUUAUGUGUGUGUGUGUCCCUCUCUAUGUUUCAUAUCUUGGUGAUAUAUUGUCAGAGAGGUUCAGAUCACAUUCUGGUAAAUCGUAUUUCCAGUGCAUCAAAGAUGUGCCAGAAAGAUAAAUAAAUAAAAAAAGAAGUUAAUAAAAGAAUUACUG
rnacentral:lncRNA from 1 species